CUCACACGGCAGAUCGAAACACUGCACAUGGAGAGAUUUGGAUUGCAACGGUUUUCUACAUCACCAAGUGACAUUCGCUACUAUACCAGAUUUCCAUCAUAUGAACAUUUGAUGGCCUUUUGGGAUCUAAUUCAAGAGGCAACAAGCAGAAUGGUGAGAGUCACCAGAGGUCAGAAGAACCUCUCCACCAGUACAUCCACUGAGACCCCUAUGAACAGACCAACAAAACUGCUGCCAAUUGACGAGCUCUUCCUCUUCCUCAACUACCUGUCAACCGGCUGUACACAAAGGGAGCUUGGUCACAAGUUCAAUAUCCACAGAGCAACAGCAAGCAGAAUAAUUGUGACGUGGUCCAACUUUUUGUAUACUUUGCUCGGAUCGCUCUCCAUCUGGAUGAC